GAUGAACGCUAGCUACAGGCUUAACGCAUGCAAGUCGCGGGGCAGCAUGUCGGUUGCUUGCAACCGAUGAUGGCGACCGGCGCACGGGUGAGUAACGCGUAUCCAACCUGCCCUUCACCACGGAAUAAUCCAGUGAAAAUUGGUCUAAUACCGUAUGAGGUCAUACGAUGGCAUCAGAAUAUGACGAAAGGUUUGGCGGGGAAGGAUGGGGAUGCGUCUGAUUAGCUUGUUGGUGAGGUAACGGCUCACCAAGGCGACGAUCAGUAGGGGUUCUGAGAGGAAGGUCCCCCACAUUGGAACUGAGACACGGUCCAAACUCCUACGGGAGGCAGCAGUGAGGAAUAUUGGUCAAUGGGCGAGAGCCUGAACCAGCCAAGUAGCGUGCAGGAAGACGGCCCUAUGGGUUGUAAACUGCUUUUAUAUGGGGAUAAAGUGAGCUACGUGUAGUUUAUUGCAGGUACCAUAUGAAUAAGGACCGGCUAAUUCCGUGCCAGCAGCCGCCGUAA
rnacentral:rRNA from 1 species